ACAUGUUAGAGGGAGUGGGGUAUAGUGACACAGUAACAGAGGGAUUGAGGGCCCUGCUCAGUGAGUUUACAUGUUAGAGGGAGUGGGGUAUAGUGACACAGUAACAGAGGUAUUGAGGGCCCUGCUCAGUGAGUUUACAUGUUAGAGGGAGUGGGGUAUAGUGACACAGUAACAGAGGGAUUGAGGGCCCUGCUCAGUGAGUUUACAUGUUAGAGGGAGUGGGGUAUAGUGACACAGUAACAGAGGGAUUGAGGGCCUGCUCAGUGAGUUUA